AACACCGGUUGAUCCUGCCGGAGGCCACUGCUAUCGGGUUCCGACUAAGCCAUGCGAGUCAUGGGGUCGUAAGACACCGGCGCACGGCUCAGUAACACGCGGAUAAUCUAUCCUCUGGUGGGGGAUAACCUCGGGAAACUGAGGCUAAUACCCCAUAGAUAUUCAAUGCUGGAAGGCUUGGAUAUUGAAAGCGCAAGCGCCAGAGGGUGAGUCUGCGGCCUAUCAGGUAGUAGGUGGUGUAACGGACCACCUAGCCUAAGACGGGUACGGGCCUUGAGAGAGGGAGCCCGGAGAUGGGUUCUGAGACACGAACCCAGGCCCUACGGGGCGCAGCAGGCGCGAAACCUUCGCACUGCGCGAAAGCGCGACGAGGGGAACCCGAGUGCCUCUCCAUUUCGGGGAGGCUUUUCACAAGCCUAAAAAGCUUGUGGAAUAAGGGCUGGGCAAGACGGGUGCCAGCCGCCGCGGUAAUACCCGCAGCUCGAGUGGUGGUCGCUUUUAUUGAGCCUAAAACGUUCGUAGUCGGCCUUGUAAAUCCCUGGGUAAAUUGGGCCGCUUAACGGUUCAAAUUCCGGGGAGACUGCAAGGCUAGGGACCGGGCGAGGUCAGAGGUACUUUCGGGGUAGGAGUGAAAUCCUGUAAUCCCGAAGGGACCACCUGUGGCGAAAGCGUCUGACUUGAACGGCUCCGACGAUGAGGAACGAAGGCUAGGGGAGCAAACCGGAUUAGAUACCCGGGUAGUCCUAGCUGUAAACUCUGCCCGCUUGGUGUGGCCUGUCCUUCGGGGGCAGGCCGUGCCGGAGCGAAGGUGUUAAGCGGGCUGCUUGGGGAGUACGGCCGCAAGGUUGAAACUUAAAGGAAUUGGCGGGGGAGCACCGCAACGGGAGGAUGCGUGCGGUUUAAUUGGAUUCAACGCCGGAAAACUCACCUGAGGAGACCAGCGUAUGUGGGUCAAGCCGAAGACUUUACCCGAACAACAGCUGGAGAGGUGGUGCAUGGCCAUCGUCAGCUCGUACCGUAGGGCAUUCACUUAAGUGUGAUAACGAGCGAGACCCCCAUCCCUAGUUGCUAACCCCUCCGAAAGGAGGGGUGCACUCUAGGGAGACCGCUUCCGCUAAGGAAGAGGAAGGAGGGGUCGACGGUAGGUCAGUAUGCCCCGAAUCCUCAGGGCAACACGCGCGCUACAAAGGACAGGACAAUGGGUUCCAACCCCGAAAGGGGAAGGUAAUCCCGAAACCUGUUCGUAGUCCGGAUUGAGGGCUGUAACUCGCCCUCAUGAAGGUGGAUUCCGUAGUAAUCGCGGAUCAACAGUCCGCGGUGAAUAUGCCCCUGCUCCUUGCACACACCGCCCGUCAAACCAUCCGAGUUGGCUUUGGGUGAGGCCCUGCCGUCGUGGCAGGUUCGAACCCAGGGUCGGCGAGGAGGGUUAAGUCGUAACAAGGUAUCCGUAGGGGAACCUGCGGAUGGAUCACCUCCUA
rnacentral:rRNA from 1 species